rnacentral:tRNA from 1 species
GUUGUCGUGGCCUUGAGGUUAAGGCGAUGGACUAUAAACCUUUUAGGAUCAUCCCGCGCAGGUUCGAAUCCUGCCGACAUCG